rnacentral:misc_RNA from 1 species
GGAUGGGAGCCUAGUGCUUUCUUUCAGCUUGUUGAAUGCCAACCCAAGUGACUGGGUUUACAACUGGGAUUAUCAAAAGAUUGAUUCAAUGCUAGCGCAGGUAGUGGAGGACUUGGCUCCUGUAGCAAACCUGACUGUAGAAAGUCAGGUUCUCUACCAUACACCAAAGUCAUCUGUUGCUUACAAGGAUGACAAGUUGGGGGCUAACAUUUUUAGCCAGAGUGAUCUCCCUUUCUUUGUAAAUUCGAAC